CUAGCAUAAGAUGGCAUUACCUGUACUAGUCACCCACAUGUAAAAGCACAAAUUGCAACCAAUUGUUCCAUGUUCAUAAAUAGUAACCAAAAAAAGAUGAAAAGUGAAGUACAAAUGCAUAGGGACACAACUAAUUCAAACUACUUAAACAAAGGGACAAAGCAAACAAGUAGAAUACUAAUAAUGAGUAGUAGCAAUAAUUAAAGCAAACAAACCAACCAACAAAAAACUAAUGACCCGAAAUAAAGCAUGUCCUAAUAAUGAAAAUAGAAUAAUAAUGAUUCUCAUCAAAACUCAUUUGCCCUGUCCCUUUUCUGUUCAUGUGCUUUUCAAAUUUUAGUUAUGGUUUGUGAUUUGUCCCCUCACUUAGCCAUCAUGACUUUGACAAACUCCUCAUAGUUGAUCUGACCAUCACCAUCAACAUCAGCCUCGCGAAUCAUCUCGUCAACUUCUUCAUCAGUCAGCUUCUCUCCGAGAUUUGUCAUGACAUGACGGAGCUCAGCUGCAGAGAUGAAACCAUUUUGAUCCUUGUCAAACACACGGAAAGCUUCCUUAAGCUCUUCCUCGGAAUCAGUAUCCUUCAUCUUGCGGGCCAUCAGGUUAAGGAAUUCAGGGAAAUCAAUGGUACCGUUUCCAUCAGCAUCAACCUCGUUGAUCAUGUCCUGCAAUUCAGCCUCAGUUGGGUUCUGGCCUAGUGACCUCAUUACAGUCCCGAGCUCCUUGGUGGUAAUACAACCUGAGCAUUUUGAACAACCAGUUAAAACCCAUACAAGUGAUUCAGCCCCACAAGACAUAGACAAAUUCUAUAAAUCAUUGAACUUAUACUUCGAUCAAAAUUUUGCUACUGUAGCAUAGAAAAAUUUGAAAAAACCGCUAUUUUUCGCAAUUGACAACAUAGUUUUCUUCUAAAACUAUCUAUGUUCAAUCAAAGCAAAAGUUCACGAAAACAUCAAAACUUGUGGGAGCCUGACAGGAAUGUACACAUGACAGUGAGAUAAACAUAAUAGAACAUGUUAUAUCAAUAAAUUAUGCCCUAAUAUUCAUCUCCAAUGGUAAUCAAUAAGAUCAGAGAACACAGCAUUUAAUUGAAUACUAAAAAUGUAAAAGCAAAUGACGUAAUAAAUAGUUACCAUCUAAUAGCUAUUUCAUUCACAAAUAGAUCUUCCACAAAAAAGUGACCAAAGUGACCAAAAUGCACAACAGACAUAAAGGGGUAAAUCCCACAUCGAGUUAUUCAAAAAUCCAAACAUGCAACACUAAGGGCCGGUUGAAUGAGUUUUGUUUUUAGUUUUUAAAUUCUAUUUUCUAAAUCAACUCUAAAAAUCUGUUUUUAAUCAGAUCAGCACAAACAGGAAAGGAAACAAAUUUCAUAUAAAUGUUCAUAAAAACAAAAACUAAACUCACAAAGUCAAAUGAGAAAGAACCCUACAAACAAACCUAAACAAGUUUCAAUUUUUAUGAAAUUUUUUUCAAAAGGUAACAUGGGGUAUGAACAAAAUCAAGAAACAUAACACUUCAAUAAAAAAAUCAGAUCUAAGAAAAAAAAAUUAAAAAGAAUCUGAGAAAUGAUACCAUCGCCAUCCUUCAAUAAACAGAAUUAUAACAAAAUUGAGAAACAUAAUAACACUUCCAUAAAUGGAAUUUUAACAAACCACUGUUUUUACAAGGCCGCAUUCUACUAGAUCGCGUAUCAAAAUAUUAACGUUGUUCCAAGACAGCAUUUUAACAGGCAACUGUUGUUCCAAGACAGCUUGAUACAGGAUUUGGUAUAAAAAUGUUGUCAACUAUUAGCUAUAGUGGCGCUGAAUAGCAGUGCCACUGUAGCAUAGCAAAAUUUGAACGGACACUAUUUCCGCAAUUGACAGCAUAGUUUUCUUCUCAAACUACACUUUCUAUUUUCGAUCAAAGCAAAAGUUUCUGAAAAAUAUCAAAACUCACAGUCGCAUGACAGGAAUGUACACAUGAAAGAGAGAUAAACAUAAACAUAACUUAAAUAUUUUCAUAUAAUACUAUUAGCUACAUCGGUACUAAAGGCAGUGCUACUGUAGCACGUGUCAAUUUGAAAAAGGCGCCAUUUUCCGCAAUUGAAAACACAGUUUUCUUCUCAAACCAUACAUUCUAUUUUUCGAUCAAAACAAAAGUUUCCAAAAAAAACAUUAAAACUUGCAAGAGCCUGACUCGAAUGUAACAAAUGUUAGCUUAUCAAUUAAUAAAGUAUAUCCAAAUACAGAUCAACAAUGAUAACCAAUACGAUCGGAGAAACAUAUCAUAAUUUAAUACUAAAAGUAUAAAAGUAAAAUGUCAUCCCAAAUAGGUACACCUAAUUGUUAUUUCAUUAUCACAUAGAUCUUUCACAAUCACAGAUUCCAUAUUGAGUUAUUCACAAUCACAAAUCCAAACAUGCAACUAAAAUUCAUCUCCAAAAAUCAAUCCUUUAAUAUAAAUCAAACAACAAAAACAAAUCAAAUCUCAAGUCACAAUUAAAAAUACUCAUUCCUAAAAAAUCAAACAAAUCAUCCACACACAAAUACAUGACAUAACAACAUAAUAGAUCGCAUAAAACAUUGAUCAGAUAAGAUAAAAACGUGAAACGAAACAAAUUUCAUCAAAAAUAUGAAUAAAAACAAAAAUCAAACCAAAAAGUCAAACAAGAACCCUAAAAACAAAUCUAAAAAAGUUUCAAUUUUUAUCAAAAUUCCUUCAAAAAGGUAUCAUGGGGUGUGAACAAAAUCGAGAAAAACAAUAACACUUCAAUAAAAAUUCAGAUCUAAGAAAAAAAUAAAAGGAUCUGAGAAAAACGAUACCAUCGCCAUCCUUAUCGAAUAGGCUGAAAGCUUCCUUGAACUCAGAGAUCUGCUCGUCGGUGAGUUGAUCGGCCAUUGGAGGAAGGAAGAUUUGGUUGUGCAGAGAGAAAGAAGAGAGAAUGAUUUGUGUGUGUCUGUGAUGUGGAAA
rnacentral:lncRNA from 1 species